UCAGGAUGAACGCUAGCGACAGGCCUAACACAUGCAAGUCGAGGGGCAGCACAAGGAGCAAUCUGAGGUGGCGACCGGCGCGACGGGUGAGUAACACGUAUGCAACCUGCCUGUAAGCGGGGAAUAACCCGUUGAAAGACGGACUAAUACCGCAUAAUACUAAAUUACUGCAUGGUAAUUUAUUUAAACAUUUAUGGCUUACAGAUGGGCAUGCGCAUGAUUAGCUAGUUGGAGAGGUAACGGCUCCCCAAGGCAACGAUCAUUAGGGGUUCUGAGAGGAAGGUCCCCCACACUGGUACUGAGACACGGACCAGACUCCUACGGGAGGCAGCAGUGAGGAAUAUUGGUCAAUGGACGAGAGUCUGAACCAGCCAAGUCGCGUGCAGGAAGAAUGCCCUAUGGAUUGUAAACUUCUUUUAUAAGGGAAUAAAGUGAGGGACGUGUCCCUUUUUGUAUGUACCUUAUGAAUAAGGAUCGGCUAACUCCGUGCCAGCCGCUGC
rnacentral:rRNA from 1 species